GUGCUCUGCUAAUAUUUAGUCCUUAACCCAUUGCCGCCGGGGAUGGCAUGUACGUACAUGCCAUGCCCACUGUGAUAUAGAUGGCUACACUUGUACUAAGUAUCCAAUGAGCCAAUUACGAGAACAGCAUGUCUCGCCCGUUCACCCUUUUCAUCGAUUUACGAAAAUAUUUAACGUUAUCCUAAUUUGCUGUUAAAAAAGACACCAUCUAUAUUUAUAGUAAGAAUACGUUUUUUCCCGCCAAUUCAAGGAAAGGUGAAAUCAGGACUAGCAGAGCCAUCUAUGGACAGAGAUAUUUCACAAAAAUAUAAAAAAUGAGUACUGCAUUUCCCCCAUUU
rnacentral:lncRNA from 1 species